GACGAACGCUGGCGGCGUGCUUAACACAUGCAAGUCGAGCGGUAAGGCCCUUUCGGGGGUACACGAGCGGCGAACGGGUGAGUAACACGUGGGUGACCUGCCCUUAGCUCUGGGAUAAGCCUGGGAAACUGGGUCUAAUACCGGAUAUGACUCCAUGACGCAUGUUGUGGGGUGAAAGCCUUGUGCGGCUAGGGAUGGGCCCGCGGCCUAUCAGCUUGUUGG
rnacentral:rRNA from 1 species